rnacentral:rRNA from 1 species
AUGAGUCAUAAUCUUGAGGCCGGGUUUAAAGUGAGAGAAAGAGAGAGAAUCGGUCUCAAGACCUUGUGUUCUCCUCCGAUGCUGUCCUUCGGACGGGAAAUGGCAGAGGUGCUGUCCAUAAGUUAUAAAGGCAGGGGAGAUCCGAGCUGCACCAUCAUCGUCUAUGAUGGUAAGCGUGGACAGAUCAUCUACACACAAAGCAGCAACCAGGCCGGCAAGAGGGCGUCUCUCAGACCUUCAAAUUCUGGCACUCAGAUCAUCUACACACAAAGCAGCAACCAGGCCGGCAAGAGGGCGUCUCUCAGACCUUCAAAUUCUGGCACUCAGAAUGCCAACAAUCACUGCCCGCUUCUGCUAACGGGGCCAUAUCGAGUGAUCUCGCUGGACGGGUGCGUUGUCCUAGAGUACAAUAUUGAUGAUUGCCAUGCUGAGAUACUUCUGGACAUAGAUGAUCCAUCCACAAAAUAUAAUGAAGCUGUCACAGAGGAACUGGGCUGUACGUGCAAUAACCACCCCAGAGCAGUGGUUACAUACGCUCUUCUGAGCAACGCGGUGGAAGCUAUUGUUGAGGUGAAGCUUCACCAGCAACGAGAGAAUACUUUCUACGGGAGGAUCAUUGCUCGAAGUUAUCUAGGUGAGGUCGUGCUAUUCGAAUCAAACAAUGAGAGCAUGCACAUCGGGUCGUCACAAGAACCAACAACCAUACCACUGUCUAGAUCAGUUCUUGCCGUGCCGUUGGACUCAUCCCUACAGAUCGAAGUAGAUCUACAGAAUCACUCCAAUGGUAAGAUCGUGAAAGGCCUCGCGACAUGCCAGGCCGACCUCAACAACUAUCAUGUGUUGCACCUCGAUGGGGAGGACGGUCAGAUUUCUGUUGUUGGAUCUGAGAAUGCUAAAUAUUCUUAUCUGAGGUUCUGGCAGGGAUUGGAUCUUCUUUUGGCUUGUUUCCUGUCUGCAGCCUGGAGCAGAACUCCUCUUAAAAUAAUUGCUGACAUGCCAUUAAAACUGAGAGGUGUAGGGCAUGUUGAAGUCAUGGAGAGAAAAUGA